GUCGAGCGAAGGAUAGGUUACGAGCCUUCGGGCGAGGGACCUAUUACUUAGCGGCGAACGGGUGAGUAACGCGUGGGCAACCUGCCCCCCAGACUGGGAUAACAGCUCGAAAGGGCUGCUAAUACCGGAUGAGCCUCUGGUGCCGCAUGGUGCUGGAGGGAAAGCGGUUCAGCGCUGGGGGAUGGGCCCGCGUCCCAUUAGCUAGUUGGUGAGGUAACGGCUCACCAAGGCGACGAUGGGUAGCCGGCCUGAGAGGGUGGACGGCCACACUGGGACUGAGACACGGCCCAGACUCCUACGGGAGGCAGCAGUAGGGAAUAUUGCGCAAUGGGGGGAACCCUGACGCAGCGACGCCGCGUGAGCGAAGAAGGCCUUCGGGUCGUAAAGCUCUGUCCUAUGGGAAGAAGGAGACGGUACCAUAGGAGGAAGCCCCGGCUAACUACGUGCCAGCAGCCGCGGUAAUACGUAGGGGGCGAGCGUUGUCCGGAAUUACUGGGCGUAAAGGGUGCGUAGGCGGAUAUGCAAGUCCGAUGUGAAAGACUUCGGCUUAACCGAGGAGCUGCAUUGGAAACUGCAUAUCUAGAGUGCA
rnacentral:rRNA from 1 species